rnacentral:rRNA from 1 species
UACGUAGGGUGCAAGCGUUGUCCGGAUUUAUUGGGCGUAAAGAGUGUGUAGGCGGUUUUACAGGUCCGUUGUGAAAUCUCGAGGCUCAACCUCGAGACGCCGGUGGAAACCGUAAAGCUAGAGUCCGGAAGAGGAGAGUGGAAUUCCUAGUGUAGCGGUGAAAUGCGCAGAUAUCAGGAAGAACACCGGUGGCGAAGGCGGCUCUCUGGGACGGUACUGACGCUGAGACGCGAAAGCGUGGGGAGCGAACAGG